AUCGGGGGUCCGGAGCCUGUCGCGGCUGCUAAGCGCUCGGCGCCUGGCGCUGGCGCUGGCCAAGGCUUGGCCAACAGUGUUGCAAACAGGAACCCGAGGUGUUCACUUCACUGUUGAAGGAACGAGAGGGCAUCUGCUAAAGUUUCAGAUUCCAUUUCUGCUCAGUAUCCAGUAGUGGAUCAUGAAUUUGAUGCAGUGGUGGUAGGCGCUGGAGGGGCAGGCUUUGCGAGCUGCAUUUGGCCUUUCCGAGGCAGAGUUUGAUACAGCAUGUGUUACCAAGCUGUUUCCUACCAGGUCACACACUGUUGCAGCGCAGCUAGAAAAUUAUGGCAUGCCGUUUAGCAGAACUGAAGAUGGGAAGAUUUAUCAGCGUGCAUUUGGUGGACAGAGCCUCAAGUUUGGAAAGGGCAGGCAGGCCCAUCGGUGCUGCUGUGUGGCUGAUCGGACCGGCCACUCAAUAUUGCACACCUCAUAUGGGAGGUCUCUGAGAUAUGAUACCAGCUGUUUUGUGGAGUAUUUUGCCUUGGAUCUCCUGAUAGAGAACAGGGAGUGCCGUGGUGUCAUUGCACUGUGCAUAGAGGACGGGUCCAUCCAUCACAUAAGAGCAAAGAACACUGUUGUUGCCACAGGAGUCAAGAAACUUUUCUUUUGAGCUAUUGACAGCUUUUAACAAGUUAUUAUACUCCUAUGAACAAAAUUUGGAGCAUAUUUGUUUCUCUCUGCCUGAUUUCUCCUGAAUUUGGAAACUAUUUGACAUGAGGAUUCUCAACCUGAUAAAAAUGAGCUUUCCUAAUAACUCAAGACCCAUCUGCCUAGGAAUAAACCAUCCCAGCUGUGAGAGACCAGACGAAACCUGAGACCAGAGACUCGUUUUCUUCUAAAAUGCUUUCUCCAAAAGAUUUUUAAACAGAAAAAGGGGGAAAUGUGAAAGGAAAAGAAAACUUGAGGCCCCCAAAAUCACUAAGCUAAAAGGAAAAGUCAAGCUGGGAAUGGCUUAGGGCAAACCUGCCUCCCAUUCUAUGCAAAGUCAUCCCUCCGUGCACUGAGAUAAAUGCUUAUCUAAUUGCCUCCUUUGGAGAGGCUCAUCAGAAACUCAAAAUAAUGCAACCAUUUGACUCUCACCUACCUGUGACCUGGAAGAUCCCUCUCUGCUUGAGUUGUCCUGCUUUUCUGGAUGGAACCAAUGUUCAUCUUACAUAUAUUGAUUGAUGUCUCAUGUCUCCCUAAAAUGUAUAAAACCAAGCUGUGCCCUGACCACCUUGGGCACAUGUCGUCAGGACCUCCUGAGGCUGUGCCACAGGCAUGCAGCCUCAACCUUGGCAAAAUAAACUUUCUAAAUUGACUGAGA
rnacentral:lncRNA from 1 species